GAGCAAGUUUCAGGACAGCCAAAGCUACACAGAGAAACCUGGUCUUAAAACCAACCAGUGCUGUGUUGUCAUUCCCCCUGCUCAAAGCAAUUGUUUCUUAACUAGUCUGCUAUACAUGUAGCAAUCAGAGACGCUUGGUCUCAUACAU
rnacentral:snoRNA from 1 species